rnacentral:rRNA from 1 species
AUGAAUCAUUGGUUGAGCAAUAGACCUAUUGAAUAUCCCUUGGCGGUUGAGCAUCUGCAUUCAUCAAGGUUUGGGCAUCUCCUGCCUUUAUUUCUCAUAGAGAUUGAAGGUGGUAGAGCUGUGGGAUUAAUGCCCUGUUUUCAGUAUGUAAAAGUGGCUGGCGAGCUUGGCCCAAGGAAUGCCCUUUGUUCAGCUUUAGCAUCGGUUUUACGCACCGUGUGCUGUUAUGUCAUGCGUGCCACAUUUCUAUUGGAGAUUACCAUCUCUGGAUUUUUUUUCAUGGUAACUGUGUCAGGGUUAUCCCUUUUCGAGAAAAAAAUUGUGUGGCGCCAGUAG